rnacentral:rRNA from 1 species
UACGAAGGGGGCUAGCGUUGCUCGGAAUGACUGGGCGUAAAGGGCGCGUAGGCGGUUUGUACAGUCAGGUGUGAAAUUCCCGGGCUUAACCUGGGGGCUGCAUUUGAUACGUGUUGUCUAGAGUGAGGAAGAGGGUUGUGGAAUUCCCAGUGUAGAGGUGAAAUUCGUAGAUAUUGGGAAGAACACCGGUGGCGAAGGCGGCAACCUGGUCCUUGACUGACGCUGAGGCGCGAAAGCGUGGGGAGCAAACAGG